rnacentral:rRNA from 1 species
UACUUCAGUUUUUUUGUGCUAUCCCAUUGUUUUAUUUACCCUGUUGCUUCCACUGGACGAGUUUUUCAUACCUUGUGUGUAAGAACUUUGGUUUAUGUAAUUUCUACAUGCCAGCCAGUGGGAAGACCAUAUACAAAAACUUGUUGAGAACCACUUGUCUGAAUAUUUUGCUCCAAUGAAAUAAAACUUUCAACAACGGAUCUCUAGGCUCUUGCAUCGAUGAAGAACGCAGUGAAAUGCGAUAAGUAAUGUGAAUUGCAGAAUCUCGUGAAUCAUCGAAUCUUUGAACGCACAUUGCGCCCUAUGGUACUCCAUAGGGCAUGCCUGUCUGAGCGUCAGCUCCUCCCACAAAAACACUCAAGCAUCUUCUUGUGAUGCUUGGAUUACUUUGGAGAGGUAUCGUCCUUCGAUGGAGAUGCCCUCCAGAAAAUUAUAGGCAGUAUGGUUUGCACCAGAACCAGACGUAAUAAUAAUAAAAUCGUUUGUGUUGGGAUAAUAAUUGUACUUGCCUUUGAUUCACCCAUUGAUUUCGGGUGACCUCAGAUCAGGUAGGGAUACCCGCUGAACUUAAGCAUAUCAAUAAG